AUCCAGCUGACGAGUUCCAAUUAAGACAAAACGUGCGUCCUGGAU
rfam:Schistosoma mansoni strain Puerto Rico chromosome 1, complete genome